rnacentral:ncRNA from 1 species
CCAUUCAAAAGAAUAUUCACUCAUAUAAUAGCGGGGAUAUGGCCCGCAAGUUUCUACCGGUCCGCCGUAAACGGACUGACUAUGAGAAGCAAUGGAACGAAA